GUCGAACGCUGGCGGCGUGCUUAACACAUGCAAGUCGAACGGAAAGGCCCUGCUUGUGUGUGGUGCUCGAGUGGCGAACGGGUGAGUAACACGUGAGUAACCUGCCCUUGACUUUGGGAUAACUUCAGGAAACUGGGGCUAAUACCGGAUAGGAGCUCCUGCUGCAUGGGGGGGGUUGGAAAGUUUCGGCGGUUGUGGAUGGACUCGCGGCUUAUCAGCUUGUUGGUGGGGUAGUGGCUUACCAAGGCUUUGACGGGUAGCCGGCCUGAGAGGGUGACCGGCCACAUUGGGACUGAGGUACGGCCCAGAGUCCUACGGGGGGCAGGAGUGGGGAAUAUUGCCCAAUGGGGCGAAGCCUGAUGCAGAAACGGCGGGUGCGGGAAGAAGGCCUUCGGGUUGUAAACCGCUUUAGGCUGUGACCAAGCGUGAGUGACGGUAAUGGGUAAAGAAGCACCGGCUAACUACGUG
rnacentral:rRNA from 1 species